rnacentral:tRNA from 1 species
GCCUGAGUGGCUCAGUGGUUGAGCAUCUGCCUUUGGCACAGGGUCCUGGGAUCAAGUCCCAUAUCAGGCU